rnacentral:tRNA from 1 species
GCGCCCGUAGCUCAAUGGAUAGAGCCCUGGAUUUCUAAUCCAGUGGUUGCAGGUUCGAAUCCUGCCGGGCGUGCCA